UUUUAAUGAUGAAAAAAACAGACCUGAUUCGAAACCAAUUUGAGAAUGAAUUCUACGUCUGAAAAAA
rfam:Plasmodium coatneyi strain Hackeri chromosome 13, complete sequence.